UACGUAGGGUGCAGGCGUUAAUCGGAAUUACUGGGCGUAAAGAGCUCGUAGGUGGUUUGUCGCGUUGUCCGUGAAAACUCACAACUCAAUUGUGGGCGUGCGGGCGAUACGGGCAGACUGGAGUACUGCAGGGGAGACUGGAAUUCCUGGUGUAGCGGUGGAAUGCGCAGAUAUCAGGAGGAACACCGGUGGCGAAGGCGGGUCUCUGGGCAGUAACUGACGCUGAGGAGCGAAAGCGUGGGGAGCGAACAGG
rnacentral:rRNA from 1 species